rnacentral:rRNA from 1 species
UGCGUAGGGGGCAAGCGUUAUCCGGAUUUACUGGGUGUAAGGGGGCGCAGACGGCGAUGCAAGCCAGGAGUGAAAGCCCGGGGCCCAACCCCGGGACUGCUCUUGGAACUGCGUGGCUGGAGUGCAGGAGGGGCAGGCGGAAUUCCUGGUGUAGCGGUGAAAUGCGUAGAUAUCAGGAGGAACACCGGUGGCGAAGGCGGCCUGCUGGACUGCAACUGACGUUGAGGCCCGAAAGCGUGGGGAGCAAACAGG